UACGUAGGGCGCAAGCGUGUCCGGAAUUAUUGGGCGUAAAGAGCUCGUAGGCGGCCUGUUACGUCUGCUGUGAAAUCCCGGGGCUUAACCCCGGGCGUGCAGUGGAUACGGGGCAGGCUGGAGGCAGGCAGGGGAGAACGGAAUUCCCGGUGUAGCGGUGAAAUGCGCAGAUAUCGGGAGGAACACCGGUGGCGAAGGCGGUUCUCUGGGCCGUGUACUGACGCUGAGGAGCGAAAGCGU
rnacentral:rRNA from 1 species